AUUGAUGUGCCCUCAUCCCACACCUUUCUUUAGGUCAGGCAACUCUAAUCUUCUUCUGAACUUUUUCCUUGCAGGAGUUGGCCAACUAUGUCCUAUGGGUCAAAUCUGGCUUAUAGUCUGUUUAAACUAAGAAUGUUUUUUACGGGGUGCCUGGGUGGCUUAGUUGCUUCAGUGUCUGACUUUGGCUCAUGUCAUGAUCUCAUGGUUUGUGAAUUCGAGCCCCGCAUCGGGGUCUGUGCUGACAGGUCAGAGCCUGGAGCCUGCUUUGGAUUCUGUGUGUCCCUCUCUCUGUCCCUCCCCUGCUCAUGCUCUGUCUCUCUCUCUCUCUUUCAAAAAUAAUUAAACGUUAAGAAAAAGAAUGUUUUUUACAUUUUUAAAUUAUUUUUUAAAAAGUUUAAAAAAUGAAAGAGAAUAUAUGAUGGAGAAGAAUAUGUGGCCCACAAAGGCCUAAAAAUAUUUACUUUCUGGGGGUGCCUGGGUGGCUCAGUCGGUUGAGCGUCCGACUUCGGCUCAGGUCAUGAUCUCACGGCUCGUGAGUUCAAGCCCCACAUUGGGCUCUGUCUGGGCUGACAGCUCGGAGCCUGGAGCCUGCUUCAGAUUCUGUGUCUCCCACUCUCUCUGUCUCUCCGCUGCUCAUACUCUGUCUCUCUCUCUCAAAAGUAAAAUAAAAAAUAAAAAAAAAAUAUUUACUAUCUGGCCCUUUACAGAGAGAAGUUUGCUGACCCCUUUUCUAGAAGUUGGCUCAAAUCCGCUAAUAGCAUCUACAGAAGAAAAAUCAUUGUGGUCCAGGUAAAGAUUAUUACCAAGAGAAGUUAUAUGAGUAGAGAAAGUAAAGUUUUCAUUUAGGAAAACAGGUUUGGCCAUAAAUUGAUAAUCACUGAAGCUGGUUAUGGAUACUUGUGGGUUCCUUAUUUGUAUGCCAUCUAAUUUUGUUUUUGGAAAACUCCAUAAUAAAAGUUUUUGAAG
rnacentral:lncRNA from 1 species